GUCGGCACCAGCUGCGGGGCAAGAUGGAGGCGCUGAUUUUGGAAACUUCCAUGUAUACUGUCAAAGCCAUCCUGAUUCUGGACAAUGAUGGAGAUCGACUUUUUGCCAAGUACUAUGACGACACCUACCCCAGUGUCAAGGAGCAAAAGGCCUUUGAAAAGAACAUUUUCAAUAAGACCCAUCGGAUUGACAGUGGAAUUGCCCUCUUGGAAGGCCUGACAGUGGUAUACAAAAGCAGUAUAGAUCUCUAUUUCUAUGUGAUUGGCAGCUCCUAUGAAAAUGAGCUGAUGCUUAUGGCAGUUCUGAACUGCCUCUUGGACUCAUUGAGCCAGAUGCUGAGGAAAAAAUGUAGAAAAGCGAGCACUGCUGGAGAACAUGGAGGGGCUGUUCUUGGCUGUGGAUGAAAUUGUAGAUGGAGGGGUGAUCCUCGAGAGUGAUCCCCAGCAGGUGGUACACUGGGUGGCAUUAAGGGGUGAAGAUGUCCCCCUUACGGAGCAGACCGUGUCUCAGGUGCUGCAGUCAGCCAAAGGACAGAUCAAGUGGUCACUCCUUCGGUGAAGACCCCACUAUUCCUGGCUCUUCAUCCUCUUCAAAAAAUUCGCAUGUCUGCUGUGAAUUUUCAUCUAGUUCCCCAAUUGAUGUUCUCAGGGUCAUCUCGGGGAUCACAGAGAUCCUUAAAUCUCCAUUCUGUUUGUGCUUGUCCCCCCAACCUCCCCUACACCCUUCCUAUUCUUUUUCAUUCUUCUUGCAGUUCUAGGAGUAAAGCUCCCAGUGUAUUUAGAUAAUAGGGCAGGGGAAGCACCCUCUUUCUUUCUAGACUGGAUUAUGCUCACAUGCUCCCUUGCCCUGACAUUUUUGUAAAUUCUGUGCCCUUUGUUGUAGCUACACUUCAGAUUAAAGUAGGAGAAAGAA